GUAAAGGGGGGGUCGGCUGUUUCGUAAAUUGUGUGUGAAAAGCCCGGGCUUCACCCGCGGACGGCACUUGAAAAUGCGAGACUAGAGUAAUGGAGGGGGAACCGGAAUUUUCGGUGUAGCAGUGAAAUGGGUAGAUAUUGAGAGGAACCCUCGUGGGGAAGGGGGGCUCCUGGACAUUAACUGACGCUGAGGCACGAAAGCCAGGGGAGCCAAACGGAUUAGAUACCCCUGUAGUUCCGGCCGUAAACGGUGCACCCUUGGUGGGCGGGGAAAUCGUCCCCCUGCGUGCCGGAGCUAACGCGUUAAGCCGUGCCGCCUGGGGAGUACGGUCGCAAGAUUUAAAACUCAAAGAAAUUGACGGGGACCCGCACAAGCGGUGGAGUAUGUGGCUUAAUUUGAUGCAACGCGAAGAACCUUACCUGGGCUUGACAUGUAAUGAACAACAUGUGAAAGCAUGCGACUCUUCGGAGGCGUUACACAGGUGCUGCAUGGCCGUCGUCAGCUCGUGUCGUGAGAUGUUUGGUUAAGUCCAGCAACGAGCGCAACCCCUGUUGCCAGUUACCAGCACGUGAAGGUGGGGACUCUGGCGAGACUGCCCAGAUCAACUGGGAGGAAGGUGGGGACGACGUCAGGUCAGUAUGGCCCUUAUGCCCAGGGCUACACACGUACUACAAUGCCCAGUACAGAGGGGGCCGAAGUCGCGAGGCGGAGGAAAUCCUGAAAACUGGGCCCAGUUCGGACUGUAGGCUGCAACCCGCCUACACGAAGCCGGAAUCGCUAGUAAUGGCGCAUCAGCUACGGCGCCGUGAAUACGUUCCCGGGUCUUGCACUCACCGCCCGUCA
rnacentral:rRNA from 1 species